rnacentral:rRNA from 1 species
GAUGAACGCUGGCGGCGUGCCUAAUACAUGCAAGUCGAGCGAACAGACGAGGAGCUUGUUCCUCUGACGUUAGCGGCGGACGGGUGAGUAACACGUGGAUAACCUACCUAUAAGACUGGGAUAACUUCGGGAAACCGGAGCUAAUACCGGAUAAUAUAUUGAACCGUAUGGUUCAAUAGUGAAAGACGGCUUUGCUGUCUCUUAUCGAUGGAUCCCCGCCGCAUUAGCUAGUUGGUAAGGUAACGGCUUUCCAAGGCAACGCUGCGUAGCCGACCUGAGAGGGUGAUCGGCCGCACUGGAACUGAGACACGGUCCAGACUCCUACGGGAGGCAGCAGUAGGGAAUCUUCCGCAAUGGGCGAAAGCCUGACGGAGCAACGCCGCGUGAGUGAUGAAGGUCUUCGGAUCGUAAAACUCUGUUAUUAGGGAAGAACAAAUGUGUAAGUAACUAUGCACGUCUUGACGGUACCUAGUCAGAGAGCCACGGCUAACUACGUG